ACGAACGCUGGCGGCGUGCUUAACACAUGCCAGUCGAACGGAAAGGCCCUGCUUUUGUGGGGUGCUCGAGUGGCGAACGGGUGAGUAACACGUGAGUAACCUGCCCUUGACUUUGGGAUAACUUCAGGAAACUGGGGCUAAUACCGGAUAGGAGCUCCUGCUGCAUGGUGGGGGUUGGAAAGUUUCGGCGGUUGGGGAUGGACUCGCGGCUUAUCAGCUUGUUGGUGGGGUAGUGGCUUACCAAGGCUUUGACGGGUAGCCGGCCUGAGAGGGCGACCGGCCACAUUGGGACUGAGAUACGGCCCAGACUCCUACGGGAGGCAGCAGUGGGGAAUAUUGCACAAUGGGCGGAAGCCUGAUGCAGCAACGCCGCGUGCGGGAUGACGGCCUUCGGGUUGUAAACCGCUUUCGCCUGUGACGAAGCGUGAGUGACGGUAAUGGGUAAAGAAGCACCGGCUAACUACGUG
rnacentral:rRNA from 1 species